rnacentral:tRNA from 1 species
CAGUAAAUAGUUUAAGAAAAAUGUUAAUUUUGGAGAUUAAGGAUAAGUGUGAUACUUUUUGCUGA